UGCCAGCAGCCGCGGUAAUACGGAGGGUGCAAGCGUUGUUCGGAUUUAUUGGGCGUAAAGCGAGUGUAGGCGGUUUGAAAAGUCGGAUGUGAAAUCCCAGGGCCCAACCCUGGAACUGCAUCCGAUACUGUCAGGCUAGAGUCCCGGAGAGGAUGGCGGAAUUCCCGGUGUAGGGGUGAAAUCCGUAGAUAUCGGGAGGAACACCAGUGGCGAAGGCGGCCAUCUGGACGGUGACUGACGCUGAGACUCGAAAGUGUGGGUAGCAAACAGGAUUAGAUA
rnacentral:rRNA from 1 species